GGCUAAUCCUGGUCGGACAUCAGGAGGUUAGUGCAAUGGCAUAAGCCAGCUUGACUGCGAGCGUGACGGCGCGAGCAGGUGCGAAAGCAGGUCAUAGUGAUCCGGUGGUUCUGAAUGGAAGGGCCAUCGCUCAACGGAUAAAAGGUACUCCGGGGAUAACAGGCUGAUACCGCCCAAGAGUUCAUAUCGACGGCGGUGUUUGGCACCUCGAUGUCGGCUCAUCACAUCCUGGGGCUGAAGUAGGUCCCAAGGGUAUGGCUGUUCGCCAUUUAAAGUGGUACGCGAGCUGGGUUUAGAACGUCGUGAGACAGUUCGGUCCCUAUCUGCCGUGGGCGCUGGAGAACUGAGGGGGGCUGCUCCUAGUACGAGAGGACCGGAGUGGACGCAUCACUGGUGUUCGGGUUGUCAUGCCAAUGGCACUGCCCGGUAGCUAAAUGCGGAAGAGAUAAGUGCUGAAAG
rnacentral:rRNA from 1 species